UACAGAGGGUGCGAGCGUUAAUCGGAUUUACUGGGCGUAAAGCGUGUGUAGGCGGUUUGUUAAGUCGGGUGUGAAAUCCCUGGGCUCAACCUGGGAAUUGCAUUCGAUACUGGCAGGCUAGAGUACGGUAGAGGGCGGCGGAAUUCCGGGUGUAGCGGUGAAAUGCGUAGAUAUCCGGAGGAACACCGAUGGCGAAGGCAACCGCCUGGGCCUGUACUGACGCUGAGACACGAAAGCGUGGGGAGCAAACAGG
rnacentral:rRNA from 1 species